UUAUUUCAUUUCAUUUUUUUCUCAAUUACAGAGUUCUAUUCGUUUACCACAAAAUUCAGUGAGAGGCUCUGUUUGGUGCGUCUUUUAUAGAUGUUGUAUGUUUUCUUUGUCUUAUCUUUCUUUUAUACUUUGAGAAAUCCCGUAUUAUAUAUAAUUAGUAAAGGCAUGGUAUAUGGA
rnacentral:sRNA from 1 species